rnacentral:lncRNA from 1 species
ACACACAUAGACAGAAAAUGUGAACUCUUAGUCAGCACUUUGGUAGGAAACCCUCAUAUGAGCAACAGGAACCCACAGGGCUUAUAAUAUGCUUAUUUGCUAGACUAGAAAGUCCAAAGCCAUUCUUCAAUGUCUGUGUAAUGGAGAGAUUGGAAAUUGCAACUGUUACAAGCAAAUGUAAAUGCCUGUGUGAGCACCUGUUAAUAUAGUAUUGUCCUUUUUUCUGUGUUGCGACCUUGAUGGGUGACUCCACAUAUGCAUUGUGGGUCACAAUCUAGAUACCUGCACUGGUUUCUCAGCAGAAGAAGAGGAGGAAGAUGAAGACAUUGGUGAAGAGUCCUCAGCAGAGCACACUUCUGUCUUCUCCUGUUUACCUACAUCUUUGGAGUGCUUGGCUGACACCAGCGAUUCCUGCUUCCUUCAGUUUGAGUCCUGUCCAAUGGAGGAGAGCUGGUUCAUCACUCCUCCCCCAUGUUUUACAGCAGGGGGAUUAACCACUAUCAAAGUGGAAACAAGUCCUAUGGAAAACCUUCUCAUUGAACAUCCCAGCAUGUCUGUCUAUGCUGUGCACAACUCCUGUCCUGGUCUCAGUGAAGCUAGCUGUGGGAACGAUGACUAUAACUCAAGUGGUCCCAGGUAUGCUGCAAGCACUUCACUC